AUGCAUGUCCGAGGCGGGACAGAAAAGGGAGCUGUGCUCCCGGAUGUUAGCGGCGGGCACGGCCCCCUUUUAAAAAAAGUGGGUAACCUGCCUGUAAGACUGGGAUCCACUCCGGGGAAACCGGAGCUAAUACCGGAUAGUUCCUUGAACCGCAUGGUUCAAGGAUGAAAGACGGUUUCGGCUGUCACUUACAGAUGGACCCGCGGCGCAUUAGCUAGUUGGUGGGGUAAUGGCUCACCAAGGCGACGAUGCGUAGCCGACCUGAGAGGGUGAUCGGCCACACUGGGACUGAGACACGGCCCAGACUCCUACGGGAGGCAGCAGUAGGGAAUCUUCCGCAAUGGACGAAAGUCUGACGGAGCAACGCCGCGUGAGUGAUGAAGGUUUUCGGAUCGUAAAGCUCUGUUGAUAGGGAAGAACAAGUGCGAGAGUAACUGCUCGCACCUUGACGGUACCUAACCAGAAAGCCACGGCUAACUACGUGCCAGCAGCCGCGGUAAUACGUAGGUGGCAAGCGUUGUCCGGAAUUAUUGGGCGUAAAGGGCUCGCAGGCGGUUUCUUAAGUCUGAUGUGAAAGCCCCCGGCUCAACCGGGGAGGGUCAUUGAGAAACUGGGGAAACUUGAGUGCAGAAGAGGAGAGUGGAAUUCCACGUGUAGCGGUGGAAAUAGCGUAAAGAUGUGGGAGGGAACACCAGUGGCGAAGGGCGAACUCUUCUGGGUCUGUACCUCCCGCUGAGCGUGUAUUCUACCUAGUG
rnacentral:rRNA from 1 species